CGAAAACAAACUCACCCUCUCUGUUUAUCUGAUCUGCAUUUGGAUCUGAAAAUUGCAAUAAUUUGAGGUCGUCUUCCUAGAAAAAUCAAGAUUCAGGUCCAAGUCAAAAUUCAUGGGUGAAAAGUGAUCAGCAGCUAUUACGUUAUCUGCAGAUAAUCGAGCAAAAGUGCGAGAAAUGGCGGCCGUCGCAGUUCACCAGUUCGCCCCGUGCAUAACUUGCCACGCUUGGAGUCCUGAUCACUCUAUGAUUGCACUUUGUCCCAAUAAUAAUGAAGUUCACAUUUAUAAAUCCUCCCAAGACAAAUGGGAGAGGGUACAUGUCCUCCAAAAGCAUGAUCAAAUUGUCUCUGGGAUAGAUUGGAGUCCGAGAUCAAACAGAAUUGUUACUGCAUCUCAUGAUCGAAAUUCAUAUGUAUGGAACCAAGAAGGGCCAGAAUGGGUACCAACCCUUGUUAUCCUCAGGCUUAACCGUGCUGCACUUUGUGUGCAGUGGAGUCCAAGAGAGAAUAAGUUUGCUGUUGGAAGUGGAGCUAAAACAGUGUGUAUAUGCUAUUAUGAGCAAGACAACAACUGGUGGGUUAGCAAACUUAUCAGGAAGAGACAUGAUUCCUCUGUCACAAGUGUUGCUUGGCACCCUAAUAAUAUCCUUCUUGCGACAACAUCUACUGAUGGAAAAUGUCGAGUUUUUUCCACCUUCAUAAAAGGUGUUGAUACAAGGGACUCAAAAGCAGGCUCUUCUUCAGACUCCAAAUUUGGAGAGCAAAUUAUUCAGCUUGAUCUCUCAUUUUCCUGGGCAUUUGGUGUUAAGUGGUCACCAAGUGGCAAUACAUUAGCUUAUGUAGGUCAUAAUUCUAUGAUUUACUUUGUUGAUGAUGUUGGUCCUUCCCCACUGGCCCAAAAUGUUGCAUUUCGCGACUUACCUCUCCGUGAUGUCUUAUUUGUUUCUGAGAAAAUGGUCAUAGGUGUGGGAUU
rnacentral:misc_RNA from 1 species